rnacentral:rRNA from 1 species
CAAGUCGAACGCGAAAGUUUCCUUCGGGGAGCGAGUAGAGUGGCGCACGGGUGAGUAACACGUAGGUAAUCUACCUUUGGAUGGGGAAUAACACCGAGAAAUCGGUGCUAAUACCGCAUAAUGCAGCGGCACCUAAUGGUGACAGUUGUUAAAGCGGGGGAUCGUAAGACCUCGCGUCUAAAGAGGAGCCUGCGGCGGAUUAGCUUGUUGGUAAGGUAACGGCUUACCAAGGCGAUGAUCCGUAACCGGCCUGAGAGGGCGGUCGGUCACACUGACACUGACAUACGGGUCAGACUCCUACGGGAGGCAGCAGUCGGGAAUUUUGGGCAAUGGGCGAAAGCCUGACCCAGCAACGCCGCGUGAAGGAUGAAAUCCCUCGGGAUGUAAACUUCGCAGGAACGGGAAGAAUAAGUUGGUGUGAAUAUCACCAGCGAUGACGGUACCGUUUGUAAGCUCCGGCUAACUCCGUGCCAGCAGCCGCGGUAAUACGGGGGGAGCAAGCGUUGUUCGGAUUUACUGGGCGUAAAGGGCGCGUAGGCGGCCACCGCAAGUCAAUUGUGAAAGCUCUGGGCUUAACCCAGAAAGGUCAACUGAUACUGCGGGGCUAGAGUGCAGAAGGGGCAACUGGAAUUCUCGGUGUAGCGGUGAAAUGCGUAGAUAUCGAGAGGAACACCUGCGGCGAAGGCGGGUUGCUGGGCUGACACUGACGCUGAAGCGCGAAAGCUAGGGGAGCGAACGGGAUUAGAUACCCCGGUAGUCCUAGCCUUAAACGAUGAAUGCUUGGUGUCUGGGGUUUUAUAGUCCCCGGGUGCCGUC